rnacentral:rRNA from 1 species
GCUACCCUACGGGACGCAGCAGUGAGGAAUAUUGGUCAAUGGACGGAAGUCUGAACCAGCCAUGCCGCGUGCAGGAAGACGGCUCUAUGAGUUGUAAACUGCUUUUGUACAAGGGUAAACCUGAAUACGUGUAUUCAGCUGAAAGUACUGUACGAAUAAGGAUCGGCUAACUCCGUGCCAGCAGCCGCGGUAAUACGGAGGAUCCAAGCGUUAUCCGGAUUUAUUGGGUUUAAAGGGUGCGUAGGCGGAAUGCCAAGUCAGCGGUAAAAAUUCGGGGCUCAACCCCGUCCGGUCGUUGAAACUGG